rnacentral:rRNA from 1 species
AGAGUUUGAUCCUGGCUCAGGAUAAACGACUGGCGGCGCACAUAAGACAUGCAAGUCGAACGAACUUAACUCAUCUUUUAGAUUGAGAGCGGUUAGUGGCGGACUGGUGAGUAACGCGUAAGGGAACCUGCCUUUUAGAGGGGAAUAACAAUGAGAAAUCAUUGCUAAUACCGCAUAUGCCAUAAUUAUCACAUGAUAAUAGUGGGAAAGGAGCAAUUCGCUAAAAGGUGGCCUUGCGUCUGAUUAGAUAGUUGGUAAGGUAACGGCUUACCAAGUCGACGAUCAGUAGCCGGACUGAGAGGUUGAACGGCCACAUUGGGACUGAGAUACGGCCCAGACUCCUACGGGAGGCAGCAGUCGGGAAUAUUGCGCAAUGGAGGAAACUCUGACGCAGUGACGCCGCGUAUAGGAAGAAGGUUUUCGGAUUGUAAACUACUGUCGUUAGGGAAGAGAAAGGACAGUACCUAAGGAGGAAGCUCCGGCUAACUACGUG